GUUCCGGAUCUGACUCUCCUUAGUCCUUACUUUGUAUGUCAAUCUGCAGAAAUUUCAGUCUGUUUUUGCAUGAUCCCUUUAAGUUACGUUGGAUCGGCCUGUACUACCGAAAUCCUGCUGCCAGCCAUGUUUUGCAGGAAAAAAAAACUAAACACGAAAAGGCGGGUUUUUGGUGAGUCGUUGUCUAUUUUCGCGUUUGGUUGAGAACACUGACUGCAAACUUCCUGACUGAACAGAGCCCUCGACUCUCCGACUUAAUAAGCUAAAGCUGUUUUCGUCAAAGCCUUCAAAAUAUACUGUGGUGUCAGGUCUGUUCCUUCGUUUUCGUUGGAAAAAGAUGCAUGUCAACGAGAAGAAACCCCUUUAACUUGAAUUGAACAAUGAGAAGUCCUUCACUCACCUCUCACACAGCUGUAGCGCCAACACCUAAGUUGCAGUACCGGCGUUUCACCACGAAGUGUCACCAUGUCAACUAAGAGCUUUAACUUAACCCACUGAUGAAACUCAGUGUUAAAGAUGCAAACUAUUUCAUGAUUAAAUACGCGUAUUAUAAAAUCAUUGCGUAUAAAAAUUCAAAAUGUAUGAUAGAGUCUUACAAUUUAGAUAUUGUCUAAUGAGGCUGUGGUCAUGAAGUGUGAGGAUCUACUUCUGCCUCUAUCAUAUUUUGGCUUCCUUUCCAUCAUCAUGUCAUGUUACAUUGUUACAGCUGCUUGAGUCAGGGAUGGGGCUAAAACAUGUAACGGCUCAAUCAAUGGCUCUGGCUCUCUACACUCUCUACCACAACUAGGAGCACAUACUGGUUACAUGCUGCUCUUGCUAUUAAAAUGAAUAACUUUUGUUGGAUAAACAAGAUUUAACAUUAAUGUAAAGCAGAAGUAGCAGAAUACUUCAUCCUGCUUUCUAUCAAUGGACAUCUGUGUAUCUUUGCCAUAAAACUGCUGUGUCUGCAACAGGCUGUAAAUCACUUUAUUUGACACCUACUCCCCCAGCAGCAGUCCCAGGCAUUAAUGAAAAUGAAAUAAAGUGAUCACUGUUU